rnacentral:rRNA from 1 species
AUUGAACGCUGGCGGCAGGCCUAACACAUGCAAGUCGAACGAGUGGCGGACGGGGGAGUAAGGUCUGGGAAACUGCCCGAUGGAGGGGGAUAACUACUGGAAACGGGAGCUAAUACCGCAUACCAUCGGAUGUGCCCAGAUGGGAUUAGCUAGUAGGUGGGGUAACGGCUCACCUAGGCGACGAUCCCUAGCUGGUCUGAGAGGAUGACCAGCCACACUGGAACUGAGUCACGGUCCCGCCUCCUACGAGAGGCAGCAGUGGGGAAUAUUGCACAAUGGGCGCAAGCCUGAUGCAGCCAUGCCGCGUGUAUGAAGAAGGCCUUCGGGUUGUCAAGUACUUUCAGCGAGGAGGCGUUACUCGCAGAAGAAGCACCGGCUAACUCCGUGCCAGCAGCCGCGGUAAUUC